UACGGAGGAUGCGAGCGUUAUCCGGAUUUACUGGGUUUAAAGGGUGCGCAGGCGGUUGUUUAAGUCAGGGGUGAAAGCCCUAUGCUCAACAUAGGGAUUGCCUUUGAUACUGAACGGCUAGAGUGAAGAUGGAGUGGGUGGAAUGUGUUGUGUAGCGGUGAAAUGCAUAGAUAUCGGGAGGAACACCGGUGGCGAAGGCGGCCUUCUGGCCUCUACCUGACGCUGAGGAGCGAAAGCCAGGGGAGCGAACGGG
rnacentral:rRNA from 1 species